CUUUGCACUGAGAAUGAGGCAAGGC
rnacentral:piRNA from 1 species